UCCCCCAGUGAUAAAAUGUCACAUUUAUGCAUUUUUAUUCUAUGUAUUUUAUGUUUUGUCUUUAUAUUUUAGGGUUUUGCACAUGUUAUAGUACUCUUUGUUGUUAGCGCUGCUAAAUUUGUGUUUUGUUCUUUAUUCUGGUUUUGUCUGUAACAUCUGGUAGUGUCCGGUCAUGAAACGAAAACAAGGAACGUGGCAUCUGAGGAGCUGUGUCAAGAAGGCAUCGCCAUUAACGAGCCAGAAGUGAUGCAAGAGAAGAGCGGAGAUGGAGCUACAGAAUCAAAAGAGAACACCACUGAAAAUAUUGACACUAAGGAGCAAGGUAACACACCCGACGGGUCGGACGAGUGUAAGCAAGAUGAAAGUUCCAAACUCCUCAUCCAGGCACGAAACAUAGACCAUUGGGGAGAUAUUAGUCAGGACAUGGAAGCAAAAGGGGUGUCAAGAUCCCAGGCUUUCAUAGGUGACUUCACAAUCCUCUAACCCACAUAGGCUGAAUAGAUCGGGUAAUAGACUAGGAGAGUCAUAUGAGAGUGAGAGGAACAUGAGAGACGAAAGUUCCAAAGUUUGUCUUCCACACACACAAUAUUACAUAAUAUACGGUCGAGUAUCAAUAGUUUGCUUAUAUACUACAAUCAGAAAUAUUGAAACUGAUAAUGUGUAUGCUGGAUGUAAACAAGAAUUGCAUUGUUAGAAGUUUGGUAGUUGA